rnacentral:rRNA from 1 species
CCUACGGGAGGCAGCAGUAGGGAAUCUUUCACAAUGGGCGAAAGCCUGAUGGAGCAACGCCGCGUGCAGGAUGUAGGCCUUCGGGUUGUAAACUGCUUUUAUAAGCGAGAAAUAUGAUGGUAACUUAUGAAUAAGGAUCGGCUAACUACGUGCCAGCAGCCGCGGUCAUACGUAGGAUCCGAGCAUUAUCCGGAGUGACUGGGUGUAAAGAGUUGCGUAGGUGGCAUAAUAAGUAGCUAGUGAAAUCUGGUGGCUCAACCAUUCAGACUAUUAGCUAAACUGUUAAGCUCGAGACCGUUAGGGGUAACUGGAAUUUCUAGUGUAGGAGUGAAAUCCGUAGAUAUUAGAAGGAACACCAAUAGCGUAGGCAGGUUGCUGGGACGGUUCUGACACUAAGGCACGAAAGCGUAGGGAGCAAACGGGAUUAGAUACCCCUGUAGUC